ensembl:misc_RNA Metazoa_SRP Metazoan signal recognition particle RNA
GCCGGGCACAGUAGCAUGUGCCUGUAGUCCCAGCUACUAGGGAGGCUGAGGCUGGAGGAUCUCUGGAGUCCAGGAGUUCUGGGCUGUAGUGCACUAUGCCGAUCAGGUGUCCACGCUAAGUUCAGCAUCAAUAUGGUGACCUUUCGGGAGUGGGUACCACCAGGUUGCCUAAGAAGGGGUAAACCAGCCCAGGUUGGAAGCGGAGCAGGUCAAAACUCCCAUGCUGAUCUGUAGUGGGAUAAUGCCUGUGAAUACCCACUGGUACUCCAGCCUGGGCAACAUAGUGAGACCCCGUCUCUA